GCAGUUGCUCCACGUGCAUCGAUAGUUGUCAGUAACAUCAAACUGACGUCAUCCUCGGGUAAAAAGAUCCCUCUUUUGUUCUCGUUCCCUCCCACCACUUCUUCCCCCCCCCCCCCCCCCCCCCCCCCCACCUUUAAAAAUUCAAAGCCAGAACAUUUGCAAAAAAUAAAAAUAAUAAGAACUCCUCUCCCCCACAUUAAUUGCAAUGCAAAGGGAGAUGUUGCAUUACGGAUCCUGCCUGGGCUGUGCUGGGCUCUAAUGAAUGCGCCGAGCCUUUGAUCUGGGGAUGCAUUCCAUGCUACACCGUAAGAAAGAGGACACUGGGAGGAGAGGUGUCUGCAGUCAAAUGCUAUCACCUGUCAUGUAGAGGAGCACAGUGCAGGUUUCCUCCUGCCAGCAAGUCCCCUUAGAGUCUCUGGCCCUUGGUUUCUGCAGGGUUCUACAGCAGUGAUUGGUGAUUUUUUUAAAAUUCAAGUUGUAUGUGGGUUUAGCAAAAGCAGCCAUGUUGAGGCCUGUCUAAGUACAAUUCAAUAUCUGCAAAUUGCCACGGUGGGUGAGAAAAAAGUAAUGCCCACUACUCAACUGGACAUAGAGGAGAAGAAGGAGGGAGUACGUGUCUGUCCCAUGGUGAUAAUGGAUGCUGCCCAAGAUGGGAUCUGCUGCCACUUGUGGAGGAGUGGUCUGUGGAGAGUACAAGUGGCCCUGGCUUGGCAAGUGAACCCUUCCAGUCUGAUCUGA
rnacentral:lncRNA from 1 species